UACGGAGGGUGCAAGCGUUGUCCGGAAUCACUGGGCGUAAAGGGCGCGUAGGCGGCUCAUGAAGGCUGUGGUGAAAGUCCGGGGCUCAACCUCGGAUCGGCCGUGGCGACUCGUGGGCUGGAGCACUGUAGAGGCGGGUGGAAUUCCGGGUGUAGCGGUGGAAUGCGUAGAGAUCCGGAAGAACACCAGUGGCGAAGGCGG
rnacentral:rRNA from 1 species